rnacentral:rRNA from 1 species
GAUCAUGGCUCAGGAUGAACGCUAGCUACAGGCUUAACACAUGCAAGUCGAGGGGAAACGACAUCGAAAGCUUGCUUUUGGUGGGCGUCGACCGGCGCACGGGUGAGUAACGCGUAUCCAACCUGCCCACCACUUGGGGAUAACCUUGCGAAAGUAAGACUAAUACCCAAUGAUAUCCCACGAAGGCAUCCGAAUGGGAUUAAAGAUUUAUCGGUGAUGGAUGGGGAUGCGUCUGAUUAGCUUGUUGGCGGGUAACGGCCCACCAAGGCAACGAUCAGUAGGGGUUCUGAGAGGAAGGUCCCCCACAUUGGAACUGAGACACGGUCCAAACUCCUACGGGAGGCAGCAGUGAGGAAUAUUGGUCAAUGGGCGAGAGCCUGAACCAGCCAAGUAGCGUGCAGGAUGACGGCCCUAUGGGUUGUAAACUGCUUUUAUAAGGGAAUAAAGUGAGCCUCGUGAGGCUUUUUGCAUGUACCUUAUGAAUAAGGACCGGCUAAUUCCGUG